rnacentral:sRNA from 1 species
GUCGGUUUGAUAUACAGACCAUAAAGCAGUUUAGUUAAGCAGUGUCCAUCAAGAGUUAUCUGUUGAUACCCUUCGUUGAGAGCUUUUCCUUUAACGCUUCAAAAUCUGUAAUGCACGCCAUAUUGCCGAAAGGCACUCAUAUAUCUUUUAAAGGUAAUCUCUAUGUCCGGUAAAAUGACUGGUAUCGUAAAAUGGUUCAACGCUGAUAAAGGCUUUGGUUUCAUCACUCCUGACGAUGGCUCAAAAGACGUGUUCGUACACUUCUCUGCUAUCCAGAACCAGGGUUACAAAUCUCUGGACGAAGGUCAGAAAGUGUCCUUCACCAUCGAAAGCGGCGCUAAAGGCCCGGCAGCUGGCAACGUAACCAGCCUGUAAGCUUAAAAAGCUAAAGAUUCGAAUCCUCGCUCCGGCGGGGAUUUUUUU